rnacentral:rRNA from 1 species
UAACUGGGGCAGUUAAUUAAUAAAAAUUUUAAUAAAGAUUAAGUACUAAAUAGANNNCCCAACANUAGUUGAUUACANUGAACAAGUUACUGUAGGGAUAACAGCGUAAUAUAUAUCUAAAGUUCUUAUUUUGAUAUAAGUUUGCGACCUCGAUGUUGAAUUNAUAUUACUUUCAAGCGCAAGAGCCUGAAAAGUGGGUCUGUUCGACCCCUAAAUAUAUACAUGAUUUGAGUUCAAAUCGGUGUAAACCAGAUUGGUUUCUAUCUAUUNUUAUUUGUGUCUUAGUACGAAAGGACCUGAAACAAUAUUAUAUAAUNAUUUAUAUGGCAGAAAAAUGCUUUAGAUUUAGGAUCUAAUUAUAAUAGAUUAUUAUACUCUAUUUAACUUGCCUAAUCUCUGUUAUUAGAAUCCUUAUCGCAGUAGCUUUUUAUACUCUCCUAGAGCGAAAAAUUCUAAGCUAC